rnacentral:rRNA from 1 species
UACGUAGGGGGCAAGCGUUGUCCGGAAUCAUUGGGCGUAAAGCGCGUGUAGGCGGUUGCCCAAGUCGGGUGUGAAAGCCUUGAGCUCAACUCAAGAAAUGCACUCGGUACUGGGUGACUAGAGGACCGGAGAGGAUAGUGGAAUUCCCAGUGUAGUGGUGAAAUACGUAGAGAUUGGGAAGAACACCAGUGGCGAAGGCGGCUAUCUGGACGGUUUCUGACGCUAAGACUCGAAAGCGUGGGGAGCAAACAGG